rnacentral:rRNA from 1 species
UACGUAGGGUGCGAGCGUUGUCCGGAUUUAUUGGGCGUAAAGAGCUUGUAGGCGGUUUGUCGCGUCGGGAGUGAAAACUCAGGGCUUAACUCUGAGCUUGCUUUCGAUACGGGCUGACUUGAGGAAGGUAGGGGAGAAUGGAAUUCCUGGUGAAGCGGUGGAAUGCGUAGAUAUCAGGAGGAACACCGGUGGCGAAGGCGGUUCUCUGGACCUUUCCUGACGCUGAGAAGCGAAAGCGUGGGGAG